rnacentral:rRNA from 1 species
UACGUAGGGUGCGAGCGUUGUCCGGAAUUACUGGGCGUAAAGAGCUCGUAGGUGGUUUGUCGCGUUGUUCGUGAAAACUCACAGCUUAACUGUGGGCGUGCGGGCGAUACGGGCAGACUGGAGUACUGCAGGGGAGACUGGAAUUCCUGGUGUAGCGGUGGAAUGCGCAGAUAUCAGGAGGAACACCAAUGGCGAAAGCAGCUCUCUGGGACGGUACUGACGCUGAGACGCGAAAGCGUGGGGAGCGAACAGG